rnacentral:piRNA from 1 species
UUCAAAGCACAUUGUAUAGAAAGUUGGUACU